GGGGAACAGCUCUGACCAGCCCAGUGGACCAGGAGAAGCCAGCUUUUAUGUGGCCUUUUCUGGGUCAGCAGCUAGGGUUCCUCUUUCAGCUAAACCACAGUUCUCCAUUUUGUUUCUCUUAGCAGCUUUAGAAGAAAACUUUCUAAGUCACCGGGGCAUCAUUUCAAUGGCUUCUUUAUCAAAAGAGUAAAGGGACCUCCUCCUCUACUCCCAGAGAGCAGUUGACAAGGAGGGAAUUUCCCCUCCAAUGGGUGUGAUUUUCCUAUGGCAAAGGCAAUCUGCUAGGAGCUCUGUGCAAAGACACUAACGUCCUUGAGCAACCUGAGGCUGAAGACACCACUAUCUGCGCAUUCGUCAACGUGAGGUUUUCAAUACUGUUGCUUAAAAUGUAUUUGGUAAUUGAAGGGAAACAUACCACUGAAGUCAAAGGAUGUCCCAAAGAAGCCUCGAGUUGAGGAGGAAGAAAUGGAAAAUGAUUCACUGGCUGUCUUCAGAGGAAUGCUGCGGCUCUUCUGGGCUGGGCCUUUACUCACCCAGGUAAGACGUUAAAUUAGCUUAUCAAGUUCCUCGAAAACACUUACUGGAAUUUGCCUGGGCCUAAGUGUGAACCUUAAAAAAUAAAACUGUCAUUUUACUAGCAAAAAAACAAGCGUAUUCAGGAAUAUAGCAGAGAACUGCAAUCCAGGCCAAGCAAGCUACGGCAAAACCACACGCAGGUCCAGAGAACGGAAGAGUCGCACGUUUCACAGACCAAAGGCGAGGAGGAGGGGCUGUUGCAAACCAAAAGCGGAUUGGAGUACACUGGGAUUUCAAAGGCUUCUCAUUGGCUGAACGACGACUGCCUCUCAUUGGCUGGACAGUUGCUAGGGGGAGGAGGAAGAUUUUCUUCCUCUGCAGGGGCGAUAAAUUAGUAGCGAAGGGGGUAUGAACUCGCCAGGUGCUCUCUUCCUAUUGGGUCUGCAAAUGAUGCCAAGUGGUAGGGGCUGAGAGCUCCCCCUACUGGCCUAAGCGAAGUUUCCUUUUACUAAUUUUCACUGGUGGUGAAGUCAACAGCAGAGGAGAGAGAAAACGAUAAAAUGAGAAAAACCACCCUAA